UACGUAGGUGACCAGCGUUGUCCGGAUUUACUGGGCGUAAAGAGCGCGCAGGCGGUCGUUCAAGUCGAGUGUGAAAGCCCCCGGCUCAACUGGGGAGGGUCAUUCGAUACUGAUCGACUGGAAGGCAGGAGAGGGAAGCGGAAUUCCCGGUGUAGUGGUGAAAUGCGUAGAUAUCAGGAAGAACACCCGUGGCGAAGGCGGUUCUCUGGGACGGUACUGACGCUGAGACGCGAAAGCGUGGGGAGCGAACAGG
rnacentral:rRNA from 1 species